UACUGGAACUGAAGCUACACACUGUUG
rnacentral:piRNA from 1 species